GUUGUAUGGUUAAGUGACUAAGCGUACACGGUGGAUGCCUUGGCAGUCAGAGGCGAUGAAAGACGUAGUAACUUGCGAUAAGCCCAGAUUAGGUAGUAACAACCAUUUGAGUCUGGGAUUUCUGAAUGGGGAAACCCACGUGCAUAAGCACGUAUCCUUACCUGAAUACAUAGGGUAAGGAGGCGAACCGGGGGAACUGAAACAUCUAAGUACCCCGAGGAAAAGAAAUCAACCGAGAUUCCGAAAGUAGCGGCGAGCGAAAUUGGACUAGCCCUUAAGCUUUACACGCGUUAGACAAACGGUCUGGAAAGUCCGACGAUACAGGGUGAUAGUCCCGUAGUUGACGACGUGUGUUCAGUGAAAUCGAGUAGGGCGGGACACGUGAUAUCCUGUCUGAAUAUGGGGGGACCAUCCUCCAAGGCUAAAUACUACUGACUGACCGAUAGUGAACCAGUACCGUGAGGGAAAGGCGAAAAGAACCCCUGUGAGGGGAGUGAAAUAGAACCUGAAACCGUGUACGUACAAGCAGUAGGAGCAGGCUUUGUCCUGUGACUGCGUACCUUUUGUAUAAUGGGUCAGCGACUUAUAUUCAGUGGCAAGGUUAACCAUCUAGGGGAGCCGUAGGGAAACCGAGUCUUAACUGGGCGUUCAGUCUCUGGAUAUAGACCCGAAACCAGGUGAUCUAGCCAUGGGCAGGUUGAAGGUUGAGUAACAUCAACUGGAGGACCGAACCGACUAAUGUUGAAAAAUUAGCGGAUGACUUGUGGCUAGGGGUGAAAGGCCAAUCAAACCUGGAGAUAGCUGGUUCUCCCCGAAAGCUAUUUAGGUAGCGCCUCGGACGAAUACUACUGGGGGUAGAGCACUGUUAAGGCUAGGGGGUCAUCCCGACUUACCAACCCUUUGCAAACUCCGAAUACCAGUAAGUACUAUCCGGGAGACACACGGCGGGUGCUAACGUCCGUCGUGGAGAGGGAAACAACCCAGACCGCCAGCUAAGGUCCCAAAUUACUACUAAGUGGGAAACGAUGUGGGAAGGCUCAGACAGCCAGGAUGUUGGCUUAGAAGCAGCCAUCAUUUAAAGAAAGCGUAAUAGCUCACUGGUCGAGUCGGCCUGCGCGGAAGAUGUAACGGGGCUAAGUAGUAAACCGAAGCUGCGGCAAUAUACUUUUGUAUAUUGGGUAGGGGAGCGUUCUGUAAGCGGUUGAAGGUGUGUGGUAACGCAUGCUGGACGUAUCAGAAGUGCGAAUGCUGACAUGAGUAACGAUAAAGGGGGUGAAAAACCUCCUCGCCGGAAGACCAAGGGUUCCUGUCCAACGUUAAUCGGGGCAGGGUAAGUCGACCCCUAAGGCGAGGCCGAAAGGCGUAGUCGAUGGGAAACGGGUUAAUAUUCCCGUACUUCUUACAAUUGCGAUGGGGGGACGGAGAAGGCUAGGUGGGCCUGGCGACGGUUGUCCAGGUUCAAGUGCGUAGGCUUAAGAGUUAGGUAAAUCCGGCUCUUUCUAAGGCUGAGACACGACGUCGAGCACCUACGGGUGUGAAGUCAUUGAUGCCAUGCUUCCAGGAAAAGCCUCUAAGCUUCAGAUUGUAAGGAAUCGUACCCCAAACCGACACAGGUGGUCGGGUAGAGAAUACCAAGGCGCUUGAGAGAACUCGGGUGAAGGAACUAGGCAAAAUGGUACCGUAACUUCGGGAGAAGGUACGCUCUUGAUGGUGAAGUCCCUUGCGGAUGGAGCUGACGAGAGUCGCAGAUACCAGGUGGCUGCAACUGUUUAUUAAAAACACAGCACUGUGCAAAAUCGUAAGAUGACGUAUACGGUGUGACGCCUGCCCGGUGCCGGAAGGUUAAUUGAUGGGGUUAGACUUCGGUCGAAGCUCUUGAUCGAAGCCCCGGUAAACGGCGGCCGUAACUAUAACGGUCCUAAGGUAGCGAAAUUCCUUGUCGGGUAAGUUCCGACCUGCACGAAUGGCGUAAUGAUGGCCACGCUGUCUCCACCCGAGACUCAGUGAAAUUGAAAUCGCUGUGAAGAUGCAGUGUACCCGCGGCUAGACGGAAAGACCCCGUGAACCUUUACUACAGCUUGGCACUGAACAUUGACCCUACAUGUGUAGGAUAGGUGGGAGGCUUUGAAGCACGUACGCCAGUAUGUGUGGAGCCGUCCUUGAAAUACCACCCUUGUAGUGUUGAUGUUCUAACGUCGACCCCUAAUCGGGGUUGCGGACAGUGCCUGGUGGGUAGUUUGACUGGGGCGGUCUCCUCCCAAAGAGUAACGGAGGAGCACGAAGGUGGGCUAAUCACGGUUGGACAUCGUGAGGUUAGUGCAAUGGCAUAAGCCCGCUUGACUGCGAGAAUGACAAUUCGAGCAGGUGCGAAAGCAGGUCAUAGUGAUCCGGUGGUUCUGAAUGGAAGGGCCAUCGCUCAACGGAUAAAAGGUACUCCGGGGAUAACAGGCUGAUACCGCCCAAGAGUUCAUAUCGACGGCGGUGUUUGGCACCUCGAUGUCGGCUCAUCACAUCCUGGGGCUGAAGUCGGUCCCAAGGGUAUGGCUGUUCGCCAUUUAAAGUGGUACGCGAGCUGGGUUUAGAACGUCGUGAGACAGUUCGGUCCCUAUCUGCCGUGGGCGUUGGAAGAUUGAAGGGGGCUGCUCCUAGUACGAGAGGACCGGAGUGGACGAACCUCUGGUGUUCGGGUUGUGUCGCCAGACGCAUUGCCCGGUAGCUAAGUUCGGAAUCGAUAACCGCUGAAAGCAUCUAAGCGGGAAGCGAGCCCUGAGAUGAGUCUUCCCUGAUACUUUAAGUAUCCUAAAGGGUUGUCGGAGACUACGACGUUGAUAGGUCAGGUGUGUAAGUGCUGUGAGGCAUUGAGCUAACUGAUACUAAUUGCCCGUGAGGCUUAACCAUACAACACCCAAGGGGUUU
rnacentral:rRNA from 1 species